AGGGCACCACCAGGAGUGGAGCCUGCGGCUUAAUUUGACUCAACACGGGAAAACUCUCCCGGCCCGGACACUGGAAGGAUUGACAGAUUGAGAGCUCUUUCUUGAUUCAGUGGGUGGUGGUGCAUGGCCGUUCUUAGUUGGUGGAGUGAUUUGUCUGGUUAAUUCCGAUAACGAACGAGACUCUAGCCUACUAAAUAGAUCGUCGGCUUACAAACGCCGGCGAGACUUCUUAGAGGGACAGGCGGUGAUUCAACCGCACGAAACAGAGCAAUAACAGGUCUGUGAUGCCCUUAGAUGUCCGGGGCCGCACGCGCGCUACACUGAAGUGAUCAGCGUGCUUUUUCAACCUACUCUGUCAAGAGUGGGGAACCCAAUGAACCUUCUUCGUGAUUGGGAUAGGGGAUUGUAAUUAUUCCCCUUGAACGAGGAAUUCCCAGUAAGCGCGAGUCAUAAGCUCGCGUUGAUUACGUCCCUGCCCUUUGUACACACCGCCCGUCGCUACUACCGAUUGAAUGUUUU
rnacentral:rRNA from 1 species